CGAUGCUUUUUGCUCUCCUGUCCUGCACCAAAGCAGUCCACAUUAUAUUAUUCCUUGUGGUCUCCAUAAGCAUUUCCAGAGAAAAUAGUUCUGAUUCGUGGCCAUAAAAGUGUAAUAGCAAUUUCACAAGAUUCUGUUGCUUUCUAUGUUUCACCCAUGAGCUUGGAGGAGUUAUUACAACCUAACUGCCCCUAAGAGUUUGGCAACUGUUGCAGUCCAUGUUCUAACUACAGAUGUAUAUGUUCACAUGCCAGAUAUCACUUUAUUUAAUCUCUAUAACUUUCAACCUAUUAAUUAGUUUCUUGUCCAAAUCCAGAGAGGGAAGGUGAGAUCAUUAGGAGCUCGUACGAAAACUCACCUUUGACAUAUAUGUUCAAGCAG